GGAAAAAUGACUAUAUACUCAUCACAUGUGACGUACAAUCAUUAUAUACAAUUAUUCAGCAUGACAAAGGAUGCAAAGCAAUUAGAUCCAUUUUGGAACGAGAUAAUUCUAUGCUUCAGGAGCAAACAGAUUUUAUUAUCAAAGGUAUAGACUUAAUCUUGAAGCAUAAUUAUUUCUGGUUUAAAGAUGGUUUCUACCUGCAGAAAACUGGAACAGCUAUG